rnacentral:rRNA from 1 species
UAGGGAAUCUUCCACAAUGGACGCAAGUCUGAUGGAGCAACGCCGCGUGAGUGAAGAAGGCUUUCGGGUCGUAAAACUCUGUUAUUGAAGAAGAACGUGUGUGACAGUAACUGGUCAUGCAGUGACGGUAUUCAAUCAGAAAGUCACGGCUAACUACGUGCCAGCAGCCGCGGUAAUACGUAGGUGGCAAGCGUUGUCCGGAUUUAUUGGGCGUAAAGCGAGU